rnacentral:lncRNA from 1 species
CUACAGGCGCCCACCACCGCACCCAGCUAAUUUUUUGUAUUUUUAGUAGAGACGGGGUUUCACCGUGUUAGCCAGGAUGGUCUCAAUCUCCUGACCUCGUGAUCCGCCUGCCUUGGCCUCCCAAAGUGCUGGGAUUACAGGCAUAAGCCACCGCACCCAGCCUUUUUCUUUCUUUUUUUUUUUGAGGCAGAGUCUCACUUUGUCACCCAGGCUGGAGUGCAGUGGUGCCAUUUUGGCUCACUGCAACCUCUGCCUCCCGGAUUCAAGCAAUUUUCCUGCCUCAGCCUCCUGAGUAGCUGGGAUUACAGGCGCCCACCACCAUGCAUAGCUAAUUUUUGUAUUAUAUGUUGGCCAUUAUAUAUGUUGUAACAUAUAUGUUGUCUAUAUGUUGGCCAGGCUGGGCAAUGGCAUGAGACUGUCUCAAAAAAAAAAAAAAAAAAAGAGAUCUGUAGAGACAGACAAAGAUACAGAGUCAGAGAAGAGACAGACAUGGAAAACUAGAGAGACAGGGACACAGAGAUACAAAGACAGACGGAGAGAGAGAGAGAGAGAGAUGUAUAGAGUCAGAGAGAGUGUGUAACACAUUUAUUUUAAGAAAUUAGCUCACACAAUCAUGGGAGUUGGCAAGUCUGAAGUCCACAGGACAAGCCAGUUAGGCUGGAGGCUCAGGUAAGAGGUGACACUACCGUCUUAAAGCCUAAAGCCUGGAAACUCAGGCAGAAUUACUAAGUUGCAACCUUGAGGCAGAAUUCCUUCUUCAGGAAACUUCGGUGUUUACUCCUCAGACCUUCAACUGAUCAGGUGCGGCCCAUCUAGAAACGGGGUCUGGGAGAGUGAGGUGAGGCUGCAGGAGGGCAGAAGGGAUGCAAAUGAGGACAGGUAAGGAUGCAGGUGAGAGGGCAGAGCAGGUCUGCAGGUUGAUGGUGAUGGCGAAUCUACAAGGACAGAUGCCGGGGGAGGUGCAGGUAAUGAAACCGCUUUUGCAAAAUCAUAACUGAGGAAAUUAUGACGCUGAAAGAAAUCAGACCUAAGCGUCUCCGUCUUGCUUCUAAGCUUCAAGCUGUCCUUGUUCUUUCCUGGGCAUAGGCCGAACUAACUUUGGGAAGGAAUUCAGUUCAUGGUUUGGCUCUGAAACAAAAUUGGUAACAGCCCUUUCCCGAAAAGACCCCCUUUUUGCCUGGGGACCAGUCUGCCUUUGCAGGACUGACAAAUUAGCUACAAGAUUAGAAAUUACAGUUUAGGGGCCAUACAGCCUCUGGCUCCAAGAGUCUGAACCUCCCCAAAUUGCUCCUGGGGACAACAUCACUAUUGUAAAACCUAAGAUCAGUGCUCCAGAUAUGUUGCAGACCCUGAACUCAAUGGAUCAGCUGACACCAUCGAGACCAGUAAUCUGACCCCUCCAGUUCUGUGAUCCCACCCAGGAACGGAAGACAGAAAACCUCACCUGGACCCCCUAUGAUUCCAACUUCAACCUCACCAAUCAACACUCCUCACUUCCCAAACCUCUACCUGCCAAACUAUUAUUAUUAUUAUUAUUUUGAGAUGAAGU